GUCUCUUCGGGGACAUCCGAUAAAAUUGGAACGAUACAGAGAAGAUUAGCAUGGUCCUUGCGCAAGGAUGACAAGCAUAAAUCGUGAAAUGGUCCAAAAUGUG
rnacentral:snRNA from 1 species